rnacentral:rRNA from 1 species
UACGGAGGAUGCAAGCGUUAUCCGGAUUCAUUGGGUUUAAAGGGUGCGUAGGCGGGCUAUUAAGUCAGUGGUGAAAUCCUGCAGCUUAACUGCAGAACUGCCGUUGAUACUGAUAGUCUUUAGUUUGGUUAAGGUAGGCGGAAUGUGUAAUGUAGCGGUGAAAUGCUUAGAUAUUACACAGAACACCAAUUGCGUAGGCAGCUUACUGAGCCGACACUGACGCUGAGGCACGAAAGCGCGGGGAUCAAACAGGAUUA